rnacentral:rRNA from 1 species
UACGAAGGGGGCUAGCGUUGCUCGGAAUUACUGGGCGUAAAGGGUGUGUAGGCGGAUACUUAAGUUAGAGGUGAAAGCCCAGGGCUCAACCCUGGAACAGCCUUUAAUACUGGGUAUCUUGAGUUCGGGAGAGGUAAGUGGAACUCCGAGUGUAGAGGUGAAAUUCGUAGAUAUUCGGAAGAACACCAGUGGCGAAGGCGACUUACUGGCCCGAUACUGACGCUGAAACACGAAAGCGUGGGGAGCAAACAGG